AUUGAGCGCUGGCGGCAUGCCUUACACAUGCAAGUCGAACGGUAACGCGGGGCAACCUGGCGACGAGUGGCGAACGGGUGAGUAAUGUAUCGGAACGUGCCCAGUUGUGGGGGAUAACUGCUCGAAAGAGCAGCUAAUACCGCAUACGACCUGAGGGUGAAAGCGGGGGAUCGCAAGACCUCGCGCAAUUGGAGCGGCCGAUAUCGGAUUAGGUAGUUGGUGGGGUACAGGCUCACCAAGCCGACGAUCUGUAGCUGGUCUGAGAGGACGACCAGCCACACUGGGACUGAGACACGGCCCAGACUCCUACGGGAGGCAGCAGUGGGGAAUUUUGGACAAUGGACGCAAGUCUGAUCCAGCCAUGCCGCGUGCGGGAAGAAGGCCUUCGGGUUGUAAACCGCUUUUGUCAGGGAAGAAAAGGCUCCUUCUAAUAUAGGGGGCUCAUGACGGUACCUGAAGGAUAAGCACCGGCUAACUACGUGCCAGCAGCCGCCGUAAUAC
rnacentral:rRNA from 1 species